GACGAACGCUGGCGGCGUGCCUAAUUCAUGCAAGUAGAACGCUGAAGAGAGGAGCUUGCUCUUCUUGGAUGAGUUGCGAACGGGUGAGUAACGCGUAGGUAACCUGCCUUGUAGCGGGGGAUAACUAUUGGAAACGAUAGCUAAUACCGCAUAACAAUGGAUGACACAUGUCAUUUAUUUGAAAGGGGCAAUUGCUCCACUACAAGAUGGACCUGCGUUGUAUUAGCUAGUAGGUGAGGUAAUGGCUCACCUAGGCGACGAUACAUAGCCGACCUGAGAGGGUGAUCGGCCACACUGGGACUGAGACACGGCCCAGACUCCUACGGGAGGCAGCAGUAGGGAAUCUUCGGCAAUGGGGGCAACCCUGACCGAGCAACGCCGCGUGAGUGAAGAAGGUUUUCGGAUCGUAAAGCUCUGUUGUAAGUCAAGAACGGGUGUGAGAGUGGAAAGUUCACACUGUGACGGUAGCUUACCAGAAAGGGACGGCUAACUACGUG
rnacentral:rRNA from 1 species